CUUUCUGUCACGUUUUUCUGAGGACUGGGGAAUGCGAGUUGCCUCAAGAGAAAGAAGCACAUAGGCCAGUACGGGCUCUGUAAAAAGAGACCUUUUCUGGUGAGACUGUGAAAAAGGGACCGGGCAAUCUGUCAGCUUCUGGUGCUGGUGUGUGUAGAAGCGUUUUCUUGGGAGAGACCGUGCUGGAUGGAUUUUGCCAUAUUGCUUUGUGCUUUAAUACCCGUGACUGGAUUUACCCAUCAGCUGUUCCACUCAGUGCAGCGAGCUCCUUGGUGAAAAGCUAUUCCCACACUUCUGCGUGAUAUCAAAAACAUGAGUGUGAACGUGGCUGCGUGUUUCCUCUGAGGAGUGAGGCCCUGGGCGAGCCUCCCAGCAUGGCUGCUACCUCCGUGCUCUGGUGGCGUUCCCCUUCGUGCCCUCUGAUCAGGUUCAUUUGUGCCCUCCCUCGUUUCCCUCCUUUUGCAGAGGCGCAGCUGGGUCCCUGACAGGCAGCCCACGUGAGUGCACUCUGCCCUGUAAUCCAAUAGGACAUGUGCACUGUGCGUGCUCCUGGCUCGGCGCUAUGGACAGCAAAAGCCUCGGUUUUUGGUCCAGAAAGCUGAUUAGGAGAGACACAGCGCAAAGAGAGAGCAGUGUUGUGCGAGAACCCUGCCCUGCCUCGUUUCAUGUAGGACGUUGCCUUUAGUUCCCUGUCGUUGGUCUGGAUGAUGCACAGAGCAGCUGAGCCACCACAGCUCCCUGCACAGUCUGCGCUCGUGUUAGCACCAGCUGUGUGGCUCCGGUCAGGCUUCGUGGUGUGCUGAGCUGACAGCGCAGGAAUUAAAAGGUUGCAACACCUUCACAUUUGUUUUCUUACCUCCUCGCCCCAUCCUCUGCAAGAUUUGCUGUAUUGAUUUGUGUCAGUGAUUCAAGAGACUGUCACAAGUGAUGGUGAGUUAUACAGUCAAGGUGGAAAAGAACUGUCUCCUACGAAAAGAUCUGACAGAGAAAAAUUCAGAAAAUGCCAUUUGAAUUGAAGAGUGGGUCAAGACACCUGCCAAGGGAGAGGAUGGAUGUCUCUCCUGCAGACCUGGAGAGGCGAUAUGGCCUUGGAACAGCUUGUGACGUAGGAACUAUGAAGGACAGAAUAUACCAGGACAGGGAGAAAUAACGUUGCACUCCCUAUAUGCAUUAGAGACAAUUUAUAAAGCAAUUUGAGAGCUUAGUAUAGAAGAUUCUUUAUCAGUGCAUAAAGAAUAAUCGUUUGAUCAAUGAUUGUCCAACAAUGUAGGGAAUUUGAUAAACUCCCAGGCUGAAUUUCUCUGGCCUUGGUCUGCAUAUUGAUUUUAUUUCAAGAAUAAUAGAGUAAAUGCAGUAAAUGGCUGGUAUGGAUGUGUUGUGAAGAGCAGGACAAUGUUUUGGAGCUGUGAAGUCCUGCGUUGCUGCCACUGCUUAACUACUUCAGAGGCCUCAAAGAUUCACCGGUGAGACUUUCUUCCCUCCGUAUCCCGUAGCUGUUCUAAGACUGCUUGUCUUGAAUCUGGCCCUGGGCAGAGAUGAACAGCUGAGAAAGAGACUCUGGAUUGACUUUGUGUUCCUGUCCACACACCGUUACACUAAGUAAUGGAACAGUUACAGUCACUGUCAAGCAAGAGCAGGUUGGGGUGUUCUGUAUCCAGCUGCCCCUCCAGCGAACGUUGCUGUAGAUAAGUGACCAGCCGGUGGGGCUGAGGCAAAUCCCCUGCUGAACCCCCAGUGCCCAGAUCACAGCAGGUUCGUGGGCUGUCGCAGAGCUGGACCCGAGCAGCGGAUGCGUAUUGGGAAGGAGCUGGAAUUCCCUUGCUCAGAAUAGCCCAGAAAAGAUGAAAGAGGAUUAAACAGAGCUGGAUGUUGGAGAGGUACCCGGUCUCAGUGACUGCCUUGUCUUCCCUUGGGCGCCUUAGGCACCAGCGAGCUCACGUACGCUGUGUGAAGCGCAGCCAGCCCCCCUGCAUGUCACCACCACCUCUCCUCAGCCUGAGGCUUACGACUGCCUUGAGCAGACCCCAGCAGGCAUCCCGAGGAUGGGCACUACAGCUGGAGAGUGCACAAGGAGAUGUGUCCAGGUUUGGCUCCACUAAACCCAGAAGUGAGAGGGCCAGGAAGGGAAACCAGGAGUGUGCACACAUGUCAGAGGCUGGAAGGGAUUUACCUCCCUGCAUUUCCAAUUGCUUGUUUUCUAUCUGGGGAAAAUCCCUUUUGACAGCCCAGGCGGUGAGCUUCUAAUUCCUGUCUCCGGCUCAUUUUUCACUUCAAUCCCUCAGCGAACGGAUUUUAAUGCUUGAUGGAUUCAAACAAAAUUAUUUCCGUUCCUGUGGCUUUGCAAAAGCCUCUAGGGUGUGUGUGUGCACGCAGGGGAGGAGGGAUGGGGCUUGUUUUCGUUACACUCCAAUAAGCCUCCUCUCCAGGGGAAAUGUAUUUCAUUUCUU